rnacentral:rRNA from 1 species
UACGUAGGGAGCAAGCGUUGUCCGGAAUCAUUGGGCGUAAAGCGCGCGUAGGUGGCCCCAUAAGUCCGCUGUGAAAGUCAAAGGCUCAACCUUUGAAAGCCGGUGGAUACUGUGGGACUAGAGUACGGAAGAGGCGAGUGGAAUUCCCGGUGUAGAGGUGAAAUUCGUAGAUAUCGGGAGGAACACCGGUGGCGAAGGCGGCGACCUGGGUCGAGACUGACGCUGAGGCGCGAAAGCGUGGGGAGCAAACAGG